CUGCUAUCGGUGUUUGCCUAAGCCAUGCGAGUCAAAUGUUCUUCGUGAACAUGGCGUACUGCUCAGUAACACGUGGAUAAUCUGCCCUCAGGUCUGGAAUAACCCCGGGAAACUGGGGAUAAUACCGGAUAACGCAUAUAUGCUGGAAUGCUUUAUGCGUCAAAGGUCCGCCGCCUGAGGAUGGGUCUGCGGCCUAUCAGGUAGUAGCGGGUGUAAUGUACCUGCUAGCCGACGACGGGUACGGGUUGUGAGAGCAAGAGCCCGGAGAUGGAUUCUGAGACAUGAAUCCAGGCCCUACGGGGCGCAGCAGGCGCGAAAACUUUACAAUGCGGGCAACCGUGAUAAGGGGACACCGAGUGCCAGCAACAUUUGCUGGCUGUCCACAUGCUUAAACUGCAUGUGUUAGCAAGGGCCGGGCAAGACCGGUGCCAGCCGCCGCGGUAACACCGGCGGCCCGAGUGGUGAUCGUUAUUAUUGGGUCUAAAGGGUCCGUAGCCGGUUUGGUCAGUCCUCCGGGAAAUCUGUCAGCUCAACUGAUAGGCUUUCGGGGGAUACUGCCAGACUUGGAACCGGGAGAGGUAAGAGGUACUACAGGGGUAGGAGUGAAAUCUUGUAAUCCCUGUGGGNACCACCUGUGGCGAAGGCGUCUUACCAGAACGGGUUCGACGGUGAAGGGACGAAAGCUGGGGGCACGAACCNGGAUUAGAUACCCNGGGUAGUCCCCAC
rnacentral:rRNA from 1 species